AUGUAACUAAGAGCCAAUAAAGUGAGGCCCUAACGGGAACUAAAAAACGUUGGUGUAAUUGUUUGUUGAAAUUAAUUAUCUAUGAGGAUUUGGUU